CAAUAGCUUGCAUUUAAAAAAACUAACAAAAACUUUUUGGACUGUAAUAUAAUAACAGUCAGUUUCCUUCACAAGUGUGCGUUUCAGGGCCUGCCCAGUGCCACCACUCACUCACUGGUGUCCCAAUAGCUUGCAUUUUAAAAAAAACAAAACUUUUUGGACUGUAAUAUAAUAGCAGUCAGUUUCCUUCACGAGUGUGCAUUUCAGGGCC